CCAGUCUGUCUACCUAUAAAGACGUUGCGUGGCCGCUUUUGGAAUUUUCAUUUUGUACCUUCACCACUUGGUUUGGCAGCAAAGUCAUGGAAGGAAGAAAGCUGUUAACUACCUUUCUGCUUAUCUCUACCUUCAUGGUGUGGAAAUCAAGUGGAAAGGUUUACAAUUUCAAAAAGUUUUUAUGGACAAAAUUACCCGUAUGGACGUAUCUUACCACAGAGAAUGGAGGAUGUAUGUGUCAAGUAGACGUAAUGAAAUCUAUGAGCGAAAAACAAAUUGAUUUCACCCACAACUUUCUUGACAAGCAUCAACACAGGAGACACCAGACAUUGGUUGGAGUUUUUGAUAAAAAGAAUGUCAUAUAUACACAUGUUUACGGAAGUACAAAUAAAGUAAAAGAAGAAAUUGAAUAUUCUGAUAAAGUCUUCAAAUGUGCUGUGAUUCACGUCAUGUCAAUGUCUUCCUUUUAUGGUAAUACCAACAAAUACGACCUGCGAGUUUGGAACUCAUCCAAUAUAGCCGCUUCGGCUAAACCGUGUCUUCCAGCGUUCAGCAAACACCAACACCCAGGACACCUCACUUACAAAAAUAUAUGCCAGGACAUAUUCCACAAAACAUCGCCGAACGCGAAUGUUAAAGGACAACAAUCCAGAAUGCAGGCUUUUUGUAGCGCCGCAGCAUGACCUACAAACGGCAGAAGGGAGCACCUAAUACGACCACUUAGCACGCAAACUCUUUGCAUGGAAAUAAUAUACAUUUCACAGUAUUACAUAUUCUACGUUGAAAUAAAGGGAAGAGUGCACAAAAUAUAUUGUUAGGAAGGCAUAAUAUUGCCAUAAAAUCAGAAAUGAUGUUAUCUUGACAGUUCAUCGAAGCCUCAAUUGAAGGUUAGCCGCAAUACCAUUCCUGCAUAUUAAUUCGCAUCGCCUAAAGAGUUUGCGUCCUCUAUGACGUCGGUGUUGUGUUGUCUGCACGGCGUCAGUUAACUAUCAACUAGCCACGUAUUCGAGGCACGGUUAGCAAAGGAGCCUGCACCAUAGAGAAAGAAAAAAAAGGUAAGACUGGACACUCCCAUACACCCCAGCGGCCCAAUCGACCCUAGCGCGCCUGACGGUUGGUGAGAGCAACUGGCCUGCACUUCCUGUUCCUGUUUCGCUGGCGCAAAAUUUGGAUUACUCCGCGUCACCGACGCUAAGCUCUAGCCGAAGCUUGUCAUUUCAGGCCACUUUUCGUCACCGAAAUGCCUGCACUGCCAAGACAGUCAGUGGAAUAUAAUACAGUCGUUGUACAUAGUCCGCCCUUCUCGCGCGGACGGGGCUACAUCCAUCAGAAAGAUGGAUAUUUGUCUUCUUAAAAGAGCGUGAAACUACAAAAAAUGAAUAACAAAUCGACUUUUUUUCUUCACCUGUACUGCCGUACAUGCGGUUUAUGCCGCACUUCAGUAAGACUAUCGCACUGCGAGAAAUAAAUACAGGGUAACCCGCUUGAUCAUUGAAGCUUACCACAGUCGGAAAACGCAAGACAGAUGCGUUAGCCGUACAUCAAUCGCGCUAAGAGAAAAAGUAAUACAGUAUUUCAACGAAUUGCAAAUGCGCUGGUUCGCAAACGAUGUGGCAUGCUCAAAAUGAAGAGCUUCUGUUGUUGCGCAUGAGGUUUGAUGUUUUUUGUAUUGUUGCACUAUGAUAAAUUUUCCAUACGUAUAUUGCUAGUUUUUCAAUAAAAAUUAGCUGCGAGUUC